ACUCAAAUGAAUUGACGGGGGCUCACACAAGCGGUGGAGCAUGUGGUUCAAUUCGAGGCAACGCGAAGAACCUUACCUGGGCUUGACUACCACGGAUUAAGUUCUGGAAACAGGACCCACGCCUUCGGGUGGAACGUGGAACAGGUGCUGCAUGGCUGUCGUCAGCUCGUGCUGUGAAGUGUCGGGUUAAGUCCUACAACGAGCGAAACCCCUGUCGUCAGUUGCCAACGGGUUAUGCCGGGGACUCUGACGAGACUGCCGGCGUCAAGCCGGAGGAAGGUGGGGAUGACGUCAAGUCAUCAUGGCCUUUAUGCCCAGGGCUACACACGUGCUACAAUGCCGGGUACAGACCGACGCGAAACCGCAAGGCGGAGCCAAUCGGAAAAAACCCGGCCCAGUUCGGAUUGUGGGCUGCAAUCCGCCCACAUGAAGCCGGAAUCGCUAGUAAUCGCGGAUCAGCGAUGCCGCGGUGAAUGUGUUCCUGAGCCUUGCACACACCGCCCGU
rnacentral:rRNA from 1 species